UCUGUUUCCCAACAAAAUCCAUCCCAGCAGACUUUAAAACAAUUAUUAUAGCCUCUCCAUAGUGACUUAGUGAGCAGAGUACCUUGUGAGCUUACAAUAUAUAUAUAUUUUUUAAAUCAGAAAUUUGCCUGAAAUCAUAUAUGACAGUCACUCCAGACUGCUAGGUAGCAUUAAAGUGUGUAGUAACACCCUCACUGCGGCAGAAACAAUGAAAGCUUCAACCUCAUCCUCUGACUUUGUAACGAUUUGUAUUGUAAAAAGCGCUAUACAAAUAAACUUGAAUUGAAUUGACUCAUUGUUAAAGGAGAAAGCUCAUGAAGU